AGCGAACGCUGGCGGCAGGCCUAACACAUGCAAGUCGAACGAACCCUUCGGGGUUAGUGGCGGACGGGUGAGUAACACGUGGGAACGUGCCUUUAGGUUCGGAAUAACUCAGGGAAACUUGCGCUAAUACCGAAUGUGCCCUUCGGGGGAAAGAUUUAUCGCCUUUAGAGCGGCCCGCGUCUGAUUAGAUAGUUGGUGAGGUAAUGGCUCACCAAGGCUACGAUCAGUAGCUGGUCUGAGAGGAUGACCAGCCACAUUGGGACUGAGACACGGCCCAAACUCCUACAGGAGGCAGCAGUGGGGAAUCUUGCGCAAUGGGCGAAAGCCUGACGCAGCCAUGCCGCGUGGAUGAUGAAGGUCUUAGGAUUGUAAAAUCCUUUCACCGGUGAAGAUAAUGACUGUAGCCGGAGAAGAAGCCCCGGCUAACUUCGUGCCAGCCGCCGCGGUAACAC
rnacentral:rRNA from 1 species